rnacentral:rRNA from 1 species
AUUGAACGCUGGCGGCAGGCCUAACACAUGCAAGUCGAGCGGAUGAUGGGAGCUUGCUCCCGGAUUCAGCGGCGGACUGGUGAGUAAUGCCUAGGAAUCUGCCUGGUAGUGGGGGACAACGUUUCGAAAGGAACGCUAAUACCGCAUACGUCCUACGGGAGAAAGCAGGGGACCUUCGGGCCUUGCGCUAUCAGAUGAGCCUAGUUCGGAUUAGCUAGUGGGUGGGGUAAAGGCCUACCAAGGCGACGAUCCGUAACUGGUCUGAGAGGAUGAUCAGUCACACUGGAACUGAGACACGGUCCAGACUCCUACGGGAGGCAGCAGUGGGGAAUAUUGGACAAUGGGCGAAAGCCUGAUCCAGCCAUGCCGCGUGUGUGAAGAAGGUCUUCGGAUUGUAAAGCACUUUAAGUUGGGAGGAAGGGCAGUAAGUUAAUACCUUGCUGUUUUGACGUUACCAACAGAAUAAGCACCGGCUAACUACGUGCCAGCCGCCGCGGUAACAC